GACGAACGCUGGCGGCGUGCUUAACACAUGCAAGUCGAACGGAAAGGCCCUGCUUUUGUGGGGUGCUCGAGUGGCGAACGGGUGAGUAACACGUGAGUAACCUGCCCUUGACUUUGGGAUAACUUCAGGAAACUGGGGCUAAUACCGGAUAGGAGCUCCUGCUGCAUGGUGGGGGUUGGAAAGUUUCGGCGGUUGGGGAUGGACUCGCGGCUUAUCAGCUUGUUGGUGGGGUAGUGGCUUACCAAGGCUUUGACGGGUAGCCGGCCUGGGAGGGUGACCGGCGACAUGGGGACUACGAGACGGCCCAGACGGCUACGUGAGGCAGCAGUGGAGAAUAUUGCGCAAUGGGCGGAAGCCAGAUGCAGCAACGCCGCGUGCGGGAUGACGGCUUUUGGGUUGUAAACCGCUUUCGCCGGUGACGAAGCGUGAGUGACGGUAAUGGGUAAAAAAGCACCGGCUAACUACGUG
rnacentral:rRNA from 1 species